rnacentral:rRNA from 1 species
GGGUUGUGAGGUUAAGCGACUAAGCGUACACGGUGGAUGCCCUGGCAGUCAGAGGCGAUGAAGGGCGUGCUAAUCUGCGAUAAGCGCCGGUAAGGUGAUAUGAACCGUUAUAACCGGCGAUACCCGAAUGGGGAAACCCAGUGUGACUCGUCACACUAUCAUUAACUGAAUCCAUAGGUUAAUGAGGCGAACCGGGGGAACUGAAACAUCUAAGUACCCCGAGGAAAAGAAAUCAACCGAGAUUCCCCCAGUAGCGGCGAGCGAACGGGGAGGAGCCCAGAGCCUGAAUCAGCAUGUGUGUUAGUGGAAGCGUCUGGAAAGGCGCGCGAUACAGGGUGACAGCCCCGUACACAAAAGCGCAUGUGCUGUGAGCUCGAUGAGUAGGGCGGGACACGUGGUAUCCUGUCUGAAUAUGGGGGGACCAUCCUCCAAGGCUAAAUACUCCUGACUGACCGAUAGUGAACCAGUACCGUGAGGGAAAGGCGAAAAGAACCCCGGCGAGGGGAGUGAAAAAGAACCUGAAACCGUGUACGUACAAGCAGUGGGAGCCCCACCACCAAAGCAUUCUCUGGUGUUGAAGGCCCUGCAAAGCAGCAUCGCGGUGGCGGAGCGUCGUUUGCGACGCCCAACACACAAAACAAGCGGUGAAUGCUUUGGGGUGGGGUGACUGCGUACCUUUUGUAUAAUGGGUCAGCGACUUAUAUUCUGUAGCAAGGUUAACCGAAUAGGGGAGCCGGAGGGAAACCGAGUCUUAAUUGGGCGUUAAGUUGCAGGGUAUAGACCCGAAACCCGGUGAUCUAGCCAUGGGCAGGUUGAAGGUUGGGUAACACUAACUGGAGGACCGAACCGACUAAUGUUGAAAAAUUAGCGGAUGACCUGUGGCUGGGGGUGAAAGGCCAAUCAAACCGGGAGAUAGCUGGUUCUCCCCGAAAGCUAUUUAGGUAGCGCCUCGUGAAUUCAUCUCCGGGGGUAGAGCACUGUUUCGGCUAGGGGGCCAUCCCGGCUUACCAACCCGAUGCAAACUGCGAAUACCGGAGAAUGUUAUCACGGGAGACACACGGCGGGUGCUAACGUCCGUCGUGAAGAGGGAAACAACCCAGACCGCCAGCUAAGGUCCCAAAGUCAUGGUUAAGUGGGAAACGAUGUGGGAAGGCCCAGACAGCCAGGAUGUUGGCUUAGAAGCAGCCAUCAUUUAAAGAAAGCGUAAUAGCUCACUGGUCGAGUCGGCCUGCGCGGAAGAUGUAACGGGGCUAAACCAUGCACCGAAGCUGCGGCAGCGACGCUGAUGCGUUGUUGGGUAGGGGAGCGUUCUGUAAGCCUGCGAAGGUGACCUGUGAGGGUUGCUGGAGGUAUCAGAAGUGCGAAUGCUGACAUAAGUAACGAUAAAGCGGGUGAAAAGCCCGCUCGCCGGAAGACCAAGGGUUCCUGUCCAACGUUAAUCGGGGCAGGGUGAGUCGACCCCUAAGGCGAGGCCGAAAGGCGUAGUCGAUGGGAAACGGGUUAAUAUUCCCGUACUUGGUGUUACUGCGAAGGGGGGACGGAGAAGGCUAUGUUGGCCGGGCGACGGUUGUCCCGGUUUAAGCGUGUAGGUGUGUGUUCCAGGUAAAUCCGGUUCACUUUAACACUGAGGCGUGAUGACGAGGCACUACGGUGCUGAAGCAACAAAUGCCCUGCUUCCAGGAAAAGCCUCUAAGCAUCAGGUAACAUCAAAUCGUACCCCAAACCGACACAGGUGGUCAGGUAGAGAAUACCAAGGCGCUUGAGAGAACUCGGGUGAAGGAACUAGGCAAAAUGGUGCCGUAACUUCGGGAGAAGGCACGCUGACACGUAGGUGAAGUGAUUUACUCACGGAGCUGAAGUCAGUCGAAGAUACCAGCUGGCUGCAACUGUUUAUUAAAAACACAGCACUGUGCAAACACGAAAGUGGACGUAUACGGUGUGACGCCUGCCCGGUGCCGGAAGGUUAAUUGAUGGGGUCAGCGCAAGCGAAGCUCCUGAUCGAAGCCCCGGUAAACGGCGGCCGUAACUAUAACGGUCCUAAGGUAGCGAAAUUCCUUGUCGGGUAAGUUCCGACCUGCACGAAUGGCGUAAUGAUGGCCAGGCUGUCUCCACCCGAGACUCAGUGAAAUUGAACUCGCUGUGAAGAUGCAGUGUACCCGCGGCAAGACGGAAAGACCCCGUGAACCUUUACUAUAGCUUGACACUGAACAUUGAGCCUUGAUGUGUAGGAUAGGUGGGAGGCUUUGAAGCGUGGACGCCAGUCUGCGUGGAGCCAACCUUGAAAUACCACCCUUUAAUGUUUGAUGUUCUAACGUGGACCCGUGAUCCGGGUUGCGGACAGUGUCUGGUGGGUAGUUUGACUGGGGCGGUCUCCUCCUAAAGAGUAACGGAGGAGCACGAAGGUUGGCUAAUCCUGGUCGGACAUCAGGAGGUUAGUGCAAUGGCAUAAGCCAGCUUGACUGCGAGCGUGACGGCGCGAGCAGGUGCGAAAGCAGGUCAUAGUGAUCCGGUGGUUCUGAAUGGAAGGGCCAUCGCUCAACGGAUAAAAGGUACUCCGGGGAUAACAGGCUGAUACCGCCCAAGAGUUCAUAUCGACGGCGGUGUUUGGCACCUCGAUGUCGGCUCAUCACAUCCUGGGGCUGAAGUAGGUCCCAAGGGUAUGGCUGUUCGCCAUUUAAAGUGGUACGCGAGCUGGGUUUAGAACGUCGUGAGACAGUUCGGUCCCUAUCUGCCGUGGGCGCUGGAGAACUGAGGGGGGCUGCUCCUAGUACGAGAGGACCGGAGUGGACGCAUCACUGGUGUUCGGGUUGUCAUGCCAAUGGCACUGCCCGGUAGCUAAAUGCGGAAGAGAUAAGUGCUGAAAGCAUCUAAGCACGAAACUUGCCCCGAGAUGAGUUCUCCCUGAGACUUAGAGUCUCCUGAAGGAACGUUGAAGACGACGACGUUGAUAGGCCGGGUGUGUAAGCGCAGCGAUGCGUUGAGCUAACCGGUACUAAUGAACCGUGAGGCUUAACCUUACAACGCCGAAG